AGGCCAGCAGCAGUGUCUGUCGCUGGGAGGAGGGAGAAAGGGAGGGCCGAGGUGGGCAUGUUGGUAUGGAGCUUUCCAGGGCAGGUUGUACGUCGGUUGACUGAUCACUGCGGGGCUAAUAAGUAGGUAUAGUGGGCUCAGAAAUAGAGAGGUUCUUACGAGGGCGUAUGUGUGUUAGGAACGGCGCGUAUUUCCACUGAAAAAUAGAUCGCCUUAAUAAUAUAAAACGGGCUAUUUCUGUUGCUCGUGCUGUUGCUGUUAAAUUUCUAUAUCUCUAUGCGCGCCUAAAGUGACUCAGCGUUUAAUUUGCAAAUCAAGCGCAUGUCGACCAAGAAGUGACCAUCGAGACCGAAACCGGUAUGUGCAGGUGCACAUAUUCAGUACCAUAGAUGUGUAACACUCAGCCCUUCAGAAUCCAUGCCAGAUAUUUACUGACAGCUAUGUUGACAAAGCAGCAGCCUACUCAUGUUGGCUUGCUGAGUCCUAAAAUAACUUCAGUCUCCUUAUAAUAACUGAGAAAAUUCUGAGAAGACCACAGGCUACAGUAGCAAGGGGACACCCACUCCAUUAAACCAGCGGGGGAAUUCAGGGCAGAGGGAAAGAGACUGAAGAGGGUGUAUGACAACACAGAGCUGAUGCAAGAAUCCUGAGAAAGACUCACUAGCUCACUAGAGAGAAUGAGCACUGUCUCUGGUUCCCCAUGGGGUGGUGGAAGAGAGGAGCCUGAACCUGAGUCCAGAAGUCUGCCCUAAUCGUAUCAGAACAGAUGAUCUGUUGGUUUUAUUUCAUUGUGACAGAGUAUUCACAAAGCCGAUCGUUCAAUUCCCCAUAUAAUAAAACAUUUUCAUGGCGAGA